rnacentral:rRNA from 1 species
CAGUAGCCGCGGUAAUACAGAGGGUGCAAGCGUUAAUCGGAAUUACUGGGCGUAAAGCGCGCGUAGGUGGUUUGUUAAGUUGGAUGUGAAAUCCCCGGGCUCAACCUGGGAACUGCAUCCAAAACUGGCAGGCUAGAGUAGGGCAGAGGGUGGUGGAAUUUCCUGUGUAGCGGUGAAAUGCGUAGAUAUAGGAAGGAACACCAGUGGCGAAGACGACCACCUGGGCUCAUACUGACACUGAGGUGCGAAAGCGUGGGGAGCAAACAGGAUUAGAUACCCCCGUAGUCCCUGUCUCUUAUAC